GAUGAAGAACGUAGCGAAAUGCGAUAAGUAAUGUGAAUUGCAGAAUUCAGUGAAUCAUCGAAUCUUUGAACGCACAUUGCGCCCGCUAGUAUUCUGGCGGGCAUGCCUGUCCGAGCGUCAUUUCAACCCUCAAGCCCCCGGGCUUGGUGUUGGGGAUCGGCGAGCCUCCGCGCCCGCCGUCCCCUAAAUCUAGUGGCGGUCUCGCUGUAGCUUCCUCUGCGUAGUAGCACACCUCGCACUGGGAANNNNCGCGGCCACGCCGUUAAACCCCCAACUUCUGAACGUUUGACCUCGGAUCAGGUAGGAAUACCCGCUGAACUUAAGCAUAUCAAUAAGCGGAGGA
rnacentral:misc_RNA from 1 species